rnacentral:rRNA from 1 species
AAAUGAAUAGACGGGGACCCGCACAAGCGGUGGAUGAUGUGGAUUAAUUCGAUGCAACGCGAAAAACCUUACCUACCCUUGACAUGUCUGGAAGAUUCAAGAGAUUGGAUUGUGCUCGCAAGAGAACCGGAACACAGGUGCUGCAUGGCUGUCGUCAGCUCGUGUCGUGAGAUGUUGGGUUAAGUCCCGCAACGAGCGCAACCCUUGUCAUUAGUUGCUACAUUUAGUUGAGCACUCUAAUGAGACUGCCGGUGACAAACCGGAGGAAGGUGGGGAUGACGUCAAGUCCUCAUGGCCCUUAUGGGUAGGGCUUCACACGUCAUACAAUGGUCAGGACAGAGGGUCGCCAAGCCGCAAGGUGGAGCCAAUCCCAGAAACCUGAUCGUAGUCCGGAUCGCAGUCUGCAACUCGACUGCGUGAAGUCGGAAUCGCUAGUAAUCGCGGAUCAGAAUGCCGCGGUGAAUACGUUCCCGGGUCUUGUACACACCGCCCGU